rnacentral:rRNA from 1 species
AUGCCGGUGUGGCCGUGGUUGUCCUUGGAGCCGAUGACGGUGCGCCAGGUCUUGUCGGACUCGUCGAACCAUGCGGUGGUGGGGUCGCGGAAGUCCUUGUCGCCGAUGCCGGGCGGCGGGACAAGGAUAGGGUUGGCCUCGUACUUGGUCCAGUUGCGGAGGAGGGAGUCGUUGGGGUCGGCGGGGACGGCGAGGCACUGGACCUGCACGGAGGUGUUGGUGGAGCCGGUGUAG